GGGGGGGGGGGGGGGAUGUUGUCGGAAAUUUUAAACUUUUGUCGGAAAUUCAGGAGGCCUUGCCUUCCCACUGGUAAAAGUGAAUUUCCGCCUCUGAGUGAGCUUAUAGCAACCUUUUUGACAACACCACAGAUUAAGUAUAUCAGUCAGAUUUAGAUCGCGGACGUCAAACACGACGUGAAAAUGGCGUGACAUAUCCAUACAUGGGCACAACAUGCCAUUUUCACGUCGUCUUUGACGUCCGCGUCCUCGAUCUAAAUCUGCAUGUAUAUUCUUAAUCUGUGACAACAAGUCAAUCGAGCCGUUAUAAAUGGCGAGUGAUGGCGUCAGCAGUUCUUUCUUGAAAUAAAAAAGGGUCAACGGCAAUUCAGUUACACGUUCGUUACCAUUUUGGUUACCAUGAAAUAAAAUUCAAUUCAAACCAGUGAACUCUAAGGGAACUAUAACGAUAACUUGGCCCAUCUUUGAAGCCACUCAUGAUGGCCGCCAUAUGCGUAAGGCAUCGAAAAUAUGCCGCCGAAAAGCUGUAUGUCAACAAGGAAAAACGCUAAAAACUUUCAACAAUACUUGAAAUUUAAUACAAAACAUGUUUCCAGAACGCAGAACAGUUUUAAAGUUAUUUUUUCAGCAGUCAAAAUGCAAACUUUUUUCGGCACGUUCAAACUUGUGUAAUAUUUUGAAUAGGGAACUGUUACCCAGGAAGUUUUUGCUGUUAGUGGACAUAAAAUACUUAGAACUAUCCAGGAAACUUUAAAAUUGAAGCCUUUUGAUAAAAAAGGUACUUUUUCUUGCUAAUUUUCGCGCAAAAACAAACUUUUGACUGAAUUUCCCGCUCCUCGAAACUCUCCCUAGUCCUUUUGAAAGUUAAUUUAUCCCGCGCGGCUCCCUCGCUUGGCUUCAACCAAUCAUAGGACUUGGUCACUGGAGUUAUCGUUCCAGUUUACUUAGAGUUCACUGAUUCAAAAAAGAACGGCUGUCGCCAUCAAUAGAGGCUUGAUUGAUUUCCGAUUGGCGUACGUGUCGCUUGCUCAAGCUUUUCUAUUAUUGCAAAUUCGAAUAAAUGUUGCUAACUUGCUAUAUAAACGUUACAUGCAUUCAAUAGACCAUUUUCGAAUUAUGUUCUAGUUGUCAAGAACAGUAGAUAGAUUUAGUAGA